UACGUAGGGGGCGAGCGUUGUCCGGAGUUACUGGGCGUAAAGGGCAUGCAGGCGGUCGGACGCGUUUCGGGUGACAGCGGGUGGCUUAACUACCCGAGUGGUCGAAAGACGGUUUGACUUGAGGACGCGAGAGGGACACGGAAUUCCGGGUGGAGUGGUGAAAUGCGUAGAGAUCUGGAAGAACACCAAAGGCGAAGGCAGCGUCCUGGCAAGUUCCUAACGCUCAUGUGCGAAAGCUAGGGGAGCGAACGGG
rnacentral:rRNA from 1 species